AAGAAUUUGUCAGGGUUAUUUUUAGUGAAAGACACGGACAAGUCAUGGGCAAUAAACAAAAAUUCUCAGAAGCUGUGACCCGUCUGUGACUUUUGCUGCUGCGGCUCCAUGAGCUCCCCUGCCACCGUGGUGACUGGGAGCUGCGGGGUCCGUUCCCCCUCUGCCCACGGCAGCUGGAAGCUGUAGGGGAGCUGCCCUACCUCCCGCCCACGGCAGCUGGGACCUGCAGGGUGACCAUAUUUCCCAAAGAGAAAAUGGGACACCCCCAGCUGCUUGCCUGAGGCAUCCCCCUCCCCCCCUUCCCAUUCCCCCACACAAGGCUGUUGCCUGUCGCUGGAACCCUGAGGAGGGCCCCCUCAGAAGUCUGUCACCUGUCACUGGAACCUUGCAGGGAGUCCUCUGUGGCUGCUGUCGCCUGUUGCUGGAACCAUGCCAGGACCACGCUGGCUGCCAGCUGCAACCCCUGGGCCUGAAGUAGAGAAUGCCAUGGAUGUCUCUGGAAUUCAGGAACAAAGGAGUUACCAUAUCUGACCAAAUCAAUUGUCUCUCCAGUUUGGUACCCUACCUUCAGCAGCAGCCUACAACUUCAGAGGAAGGUUUUGGGCAUUGUUCUAGCAGAAGGAGCUGAAUAGAUGGUGUAUCACCAUGUCCAGGUUACACCUGAGUGGACAGCUGGCAGCAUGAUGCAUUUUGGGAGAGGACCCCUCUUUCUGCCUCUUUCUGUGUAAAGGUUGGACCUGCUCUGGGGAUGAAUCAAGGUUGUUUAGUAAAGGAAGUUCCCGUGUGAUACUUCACAAGUCACAUAAACCAAACUUCUCACAGAUGAUCACUAAUUGUGUGUUCCUCAUUUUCUGGGUGCCGGACUUGAAAUCCUGGCAUCUGAUUUGCAGAAGUACUGAGCACUGACAGCUGCAACUGAAGUCAAUGGAAGCUGUGUUUUGAACAUAUAAAGUACUAUAUAAUACUAAGUACUCUGAAAAAAUAAGGGUCUAGAGGUCUCAAAUUAGGUCCCAAACAUUAGUGGAUAUUUUUUCCCUCCUCUCUGUUCCCCAUCUGUAAAAUGGGAAUAAUAUCAUACACCCCCAGCCUCAAUGGGGUGUUGUGAAGAUAAAUUCAUUAAUGCUUGUGAAACACUCGGACACUCUAAUGAUGAGCGCCACAGGUAAUCCCAUGAUCAAAUGUUUUCUGUUUUCACAGAAUGGUUCGAACAGUGCACAGUAUAAAAGGUCUAUUGCCACACAUUGAACCAUGAGAAGAAAACAACGUAUCAAAUAGCUGUUCAUUAAGUGAUUGCUCUUCAUCCUGUGGCCUGAAUGAGGCAGGAGUCCUGUGGAAAAUAUAGUAUGUGAUUAUUUAAUGAAAGACUAUAUCAUCAAGCAGACACACAAGCAGUGUGUGUGUGUGUGGUGGGGGUGAAUUAGGUUCUCACGGGCAGCCUUAAUUAUGGCAUUUCUUAGCUUUUGAGUGAUUGACUUUGCAUUCUUAACAAUGUUCUUUUAAUGUAGUUGUUGGUGUAAUUAAUAUGUGUAUGUACAGAUAUAGACAUGUCAUACCCAUAUCGGCAAGGUCUAAUCCUGCAAGGUGCUGAACAUUCUUGGGCAUUGAGAAGUGUCCUCAGUAACCAUGGUGCCAAUGAGAGUUGAGGGUGCUCAGUAUAGUGCAAGAUGAGGCCUCAUAUCUAAGGAUCCCAAAGCAUUUUGCCAGCUUUAAUUCCCUGCAACAUACCAACAUGUGAUUAGAUAUUAUUAUCCCCAUGUUAUGGAUGAAUAGAGUGAGUGUGACGCAGGAAGCCCCUCAAUGUCAACUGGCAGAGGGCAUGCCCUACCUUAACUCACAUCAGGUCUGACACACACAUAGCCCCAACUCACUGCUGUCAUAAUCUGUAUCUGAAAGGUGUCGUGGAAGGUGUCAUAUGCAAACUGGUCACACACUGCUCAUUAAUAUUGUUGCAUCAACUAUGUACAGGUGGUGUGUAAAGAAUUAUAGGUGUGUGCUGGAAAUGUGUUCCUAAAAUGUAUUUGGUAGGCAGCUCCGGUUCAAGACAAAGGAAUGUUGUUGUGGGGGUUUGUCAGUGUCUCCAAUGUAAACUAAGCCAGAUGAGACCAAAGACAAUGAAAAGGACAUUUACAUGUAAGGUAAACAAAGCCAACAGGAAGCAAGUGGGGGAAGAGGGUGACUUAACAGGGGAUGGAGGCUGCACAGAAGCCUUCCUGCCUCUUGAAACAGGAUCAAUUAACUUUGGGAAGAUAUAGGCAGAAGCAAAAAGCCAUUUUGUGAUCCAUCACCUAUGGGAUGAAGGGGGAGCAGCACCCUUCAAGAUCAUGAGAAAUGGAUCAUUGUGCCUGAAAACCAAGAGUAUCUGGAACUGACUAUACGUGAGAAACCUGCUUAGACAAAGAUCAUAAUUUGCUGAAGUUAAAUUUUAGUCCCUAGAAAACGUGUUUUAUUUUGUUUUGAUUGUAACCAUAUCUGCAUGUUCUACUCUUAGUGAUUAUCACUUAAAUAUCUAUUCUUUGUCAAUAAA